ensembl:misc_RNA Metazoa_SRP Metazoan signal recognition particle RNA
GCUGGGUGUGGUGGCUCACUCCUGUAAUCCCAGCACUUUGGGAGGCCGAGGCGGGUGGAUCACCUGAGGUCAGGAGUUCAAGACCAGCCUGGCCAAUAUGGUGAAACCCCGUCUCUA